GGGCAGAUUCCCGAGUGGCUAAAGGGAGCAGACUGUAAAUCUGCCGGCGUCGCCUUCGGUGGUUCGAAUCCACCUCUGCCCA
rnacentral:tRNA from 1 species